rnacentral:rRNA from 1 species
ACAUCCUGGGGCUGAAGUAGGUCCCAAGGGUAUGGCUGUUCGCCAUUUAAAGUGGUACGCGAGCUGGGUUUAGAACGUCGUGAGACAGUUCGGUCCCUAUCUGCCGUGGGCGCUGGAGAAUUGAGGGGGGCUGCUCCUAGUACGAGAGGACCGGAGUGGACGCAUCACUGGUGUUCGGGUUGUCAUGCCAAUGGCACUGCCCGGUAGCUAAAUGCGGAAGAGAUAAGUGCUGAAAGCAUCUAAGCACG